rnacentral:rRNA from 1 species
GCUUAACACAUGCAAGUCGAGCGGGCAUAGCAAUAUGUCAGCGGCAGACGGGUGAGUAACGCGUGGGAACGUACCUUUUGGUUCGGAACAACUGAGGGAAACUUCAGCUAAUACCGGAUAAGCCCUUACGGGGAAAGAUUUAUCGCCGAAAGAUCGGCCCGCGUCUGAUUAGCUAGUUGGUGAGGUAAUGGCUCACCAAGGCGACGAUCUCUAGCUGGUU